UUUGAAUAAAUUACAAAGAGUUAUUUUCAUCGGAAGCUGCAUCGGUGAUGGCGGCGAGGCGACGGUUGCUUUUUUUAGAAAAGAAGGAUUACUCCGACCAGCAACAAUUGUUGGGGCUUUAGUCCCUGUUUUGGACGAGGUUCGCGGCAAUCCUUCGCAUCUUCGCCCGACGAGCUGGAGUCUUGACGAAGGCAUGUGCAAUCCAAUCUGUAGGAUAGGAAUAGGAUUAUACCCGUCCGACGCGCCGUAACCCAAUCUCUGAUCCUGUUCGCGGGAACAUGACAUACAUAUGGCCUCCAAAGCCUUUUGAUGGCGAUGCAAAUGAUGGUUUCUCGACGGCUACUCAAGCAGAGAUAUCUUUUCUUUGCGGGGGCUCAAGCAGACAGAUCAGCCGACCUGUUUUGUGUUUCAGUGAGGUUCCUGCAUAUUGCUUCGGUG
rnacentral:lncRNA from 1 species